AGGUCAGCCACCUGCAGCCAAGGAGAGAGGCCUCUGAGGAAACCAACCCUGCCAGCACUUUGAUCUUGAACUUCCAGCCUCCAGAACUGUGAGAAAGUAUAUUCCUGUUGUUUAAGCCACCCAGUCUAUGGCAUUUUGUUUUGGCAGCUUUAGCAGACUAAUAUACUUCCCCAUUCCCCCACAGUGCUUCCUGGGGUCAAUUCUCAGAUAAAUGAUUUGCACUUUAAUCCUUAUCUCAGGGGCCAGGUGGGAGGGGGCUCACGCCUGUAAUCCCAGCACUUUGGGAAGCCGAGGUGGGCAGAUCACCUGAGGUCAGGAGUUCAAGAGCAGCCUGACCAACAUAGUGAAACAUCGUCUCCACUAACUUUACAAAAUGUAGCUGGGUGGGGCGGCACAUUGCUGUAGUCCCAGCUACUCAGGAGGCUGAGGCAGGAGAAUCCCUUGAACCCGGGAGGUGGAGGUUGCAGUGAACUGAGAUCGUGCCACUGCACUACAGCCUGGGUGACAGAGUGACUUCGUCUAAAAAAAAAAAAAUUAUCUCAGGAAACCAACUCGCAGACCAACAACGCAUAUAUGGUGGGACAUAGACCCCAAGUAAGAGUGAAGCGAAGACUCAACUUUAACCACCACCCUCUAAGUUUCUUUUGAGGAGCUUGGAGAACGUCACUCCCUGUGGGUCUAAGUGGUACAGGCGCUAAAAAAUUAUUUAGGCAGAUAGUGAGGGUAAGGAAGUCCUCGGCUGUUUCCCUUUUAACAAAAAGCAGUCCCUAAAUCAUUUAUUUUCUAACAAAGAGCAGCCUGUAAAAUCGAGCUGCAGACAUAGAUAAGCAAGCUGGAAGCUUGCAUGGGUGAAUGCAGCAGCUGUGCCAAUAGGAAAAGGCUACGUGGCGGCCAGGCAUGUUCAACAUGGCGGCUCCAUCUUCCCUUUUCUUUGUCAACUAGGUGUACAGUAAGGAACCGACAACAUCACACCGGCCAGGUAGAGAAGCCAUUUGCAUAAUAGAAGAUUAGGGUGGGGUGGCCAGCUUCUUUGCGCGCUUUGUAAACAUCACACCUAGUCCACCAAUCUUUGGGCCCUAUGUAAAUUAGACAACACCUCCUCAAGCCAGUCUAUAAACCCUCCCCUCCCCGCACAUGCAUUUCACCGCAAAACCCAAAGACCCACUUAGGUGUCCCCUCUCUCCGCAGAAGAGAGAGCUUUUCCCUUUCUCUCUGUUAAACCUCUUCUCUUAAACUCACUUCUUGCGUGUCCUCGUCCUCGAUUUCCUUGGCGUAAGACGACGAACCUCAGGCAUUUACCCCAGACAACGAAGGUGCUUCAUAAGGUCAUGCAGCUGGGUCAACAUAGGACUGUGUAGCCAAGAGCUACAGGAUGGAUUGCUGAGGCCAGGGAGAUUGAAAGGAAGUCACAGCCCAAUCUCAGAGGGAUCCACGGAGCCAGCGAAAGCUAAGGCGGGACUUACCCAACAGAGGGUCCUGGCCCAGUCACCCAGUGGCACAACCCAACUGGGAGAUCUGAGCAUCUACCAACUGUGGCCACCAGUGAGAUGGUGUCAUUGUCUGGGGUAAAUACCGGGGGUUUGUUGUCUCAUGCCAAGGAAAUCGAGUUUGCGGACACAAGAAUUGGGUUUAGGAGCAGAGGUUUAAUAGGCAAAAGAAAGAGAAAGGGUAACAGUAGGAGAGAGAGGAGUGCGCCAGUGGGACUUCUGACCCACGAUGGAGUGCAUUGGAUUUUAUAGACAGGCUUGAGGAGGCAGUGUCUGAUUGACACAGGGCCCACAGAUUGGUUGGACCAGGUGUGAGUUUUACAUAGCGUGUGGGGAAGCUGGCCACGCCACCCUAAUCUUAUUAUGCAAAUAGGCUUUCCACUUGGCCGGCACCAUGUUGUCUGCUGCCUAAUGCACAUGUGGUUGGAAAGGGAAAGGGAAGAUGCAGCUGCCAUUUUGAACAUGCCUAGUCCCAGGUAGCCUUUUCCUAUUGACACAGCUGCCGCAUUCACCCGUGCAAGCUUCUGUGUCUGCAGCUCAAUUUUACAGGCUGCUGUUUGUUAGAAAAGAAAUGAUUCAGGGGCUGCUUUUCAUUAAAAGGAAACCUUACUGAGGACUUCCUUACCCUCACUGUCUGCCUAAAUAAUUUCUUCUUUACUCCUAUAUCACCGGCAUCAGAGGCCAGCAGAAGUCUCAGUGAUCGGGCAGGACAAAGGACAUUUCUGCAGAGAAUACUGAAGGUCCAGGAGACAGCACAGUGGGACAUAUGUGGGCCCCUGCCCCAUCAUUAGGAGGAAGUGUAGGCUUUUCUGAGGACCUGGAUGCCAUACCAUCUUGAGACAGAGAAUGAGGAACCAACCCUUGACAAGAGAGAGAUGGCCCUGGUAGAGAAUUUGAACCUUGAAUUGGAUUGAAUAUUUAUCCAAAAGAAAUUGAACCAGCACUAGAGAGACUGUUUUGAACUAGAAGUAACCAAGUUACCUUAACUGGAAGUUAGGAUUUUUCCACCCCUGACAUCAGUGGGACAAGGGCACAUGAGCAAGAUAUUUACGGACAAAGAAGAACGUUCAUGUUUUGUACACCUGCUUUGUAGUAUGUUGCAGAUACCGUUGGUUCCCCUGAUUUCAGGUGUUCUCGUUCUUUCUGUACAGUCACUUGCUCAGGGCAAAUGGUCCUCUCCUGCAUGACUCAGAAGCACAUACUGAUUAUUCUAAACUGGUCUUCAUGCCCCGUUCCCUUGUCAGUGAUGUAGUUAGGCAAAGGAUUAUGUAACAAUUCUGGCUAUGAGACAUUGAAACUUCUACUGUGGGGCAUCUGGGAAGAUUUUUCUCAUUGAAAAGAAGAGACGCAGGGUGUGGAGACUCAUGCCUGUAAUCCGAGCCCUUGGGAGGCCCAGGAGGGAGGGUCACCUGAGUCCAAGAGCUCAAGGCCAGUUCGAGCAACAUACCAAGGCUGCAAUAAACAAGCAAACAAACAAACAAACAUUAGCUGGGCACGGUAGUGCACACCUGUAGUCCCAGCUACUCAGGAGGCUGAAAUGGGAGGAUUGCUUGAGCCCAGGAGUUUGAGGCUGCAGUGAGCUAUGAUUGCACCACUGCACUUCAGCCUGGGCAACAGAGCGAGAUCCUGUCUCUAUAAAAAAAUUUUAAAAAAAGGAAGAAAAGAAAAGAAGAGACACACGUGGAAGAAACAGUCUCUAUUCUGAUGCAAGUAAUGACUGGAACUGUGGCAGACAGCUUGGAACCAUGAGAGGAGUUAACUGAGGGCUAUCAGGGAAACUAGAAGAAGCCUGGGUCCUUGAGGAGGCAGACUACUAAAUGGACCAUCGUCCCUUCACCCUUUUUGUUAUGUGAGAUAAUAAACUCUCUAAUUUAAAUCUACUUGAGAUGAAUAUCUGAUACUUGUAGCCAAAAUCAUCCUUAAUGGGACAGAGUGUGGGUAAAUUAUCAACCUUGCUAGCCUUGCCUCAUAAUUUUUGAAUUUAUUUUUAUCUUUUAAUUUUGUUUAUUUUUUAUUUUUAAAGUAGAGACAGGAUCUCAUUAUGUUGCUCAGGCUGGUCUCGAAUCCCUGGCCUCAAGGGAUCCUCCUGCCUCAGCCUCCUAAAGUGCUGAGAUUACAGGUAUGAGCCCCUAUGCCAGGCCAUUGCUUUGCCAUUGUAUCCAUGUGAUUGCAAAAAAGAAAAUCGUGCUAAUAGUCAUUAGCUUUGAAAGACACUUGGAAUUUCUUCCUUCAAGCGAGCUUUAUUCCCAAACUGUUGAACCCUCUGGGUUUGACAGCAGGAUCUACUUCACAUGGUAGCAUCUCCUUCUAUUUGCCUUCAAGACAUUUCCUAAGGGAAGAGAUGAAGACACACUUGUAACGUGAACAAAAUAAUCCUUUUUCCUUUUAAAAAUGUAUGAUUAAAAUGUAAAAUAUAUAUAUAUAUUCUUAAAUGUAAAAUAUAUAUAUAUAUCUUCUAGAGUUGCCUGGAAAGUGAGCUGAGAGCAGUUAAACAUCAAACCCACUGCUGCUUUCCAGCUUUAACCAGAAUCACCAUUGUCUUUCCCUAUGAAAGAAAGGAAAUCUUAGAACUUAAAAGGAUUUCAAGAAGAACUGAAUUUUAACCACUGAGAUGACCAGAGAUGUAAGGCUCACACUGACUGAAGCAGUAUAAUUUGGCUGUCUUUUUAACAUUCAGAAUUCUCUCUGACUCUCCAAAAUUGCAUCUACUUUGAUGAGCUUAUUUUUUUCCUCAACCAAAUUACAUUUCUUGGAGUUCACCUGAUACAUCAUGCCUACUUACUUUUUUUUUUAGAUGGAGUCUUGCUCUGUCACCCAGGCUGGAGUGCAGUGGUGCAAUCUCGGCUCAUUGCAACCUCUGCCUCCCAGGUUCAAGUGAUUCUCCUGCCUCAGCCCCCCAAGUAGCUGGGAUUACAGGUGCGUGCCACCACGCCCAGCUAAUUUUUGUAUUUUUAGUAGAGACAGGGUUUCGCCAUGUUGGUCAGGCUGGUCUCGAACUCCUGACCUCAAGUGACCCACCUGCCUUGGCCUCCCAAAGCGCUGGGAUUACAGGGGUAAGCCACCAUGUCCAGCCCUGCCUACUUACUUUGAACAAAUUAUUUCAGGCUAAUUUACUAGCUGGAGAGAAAGAGGGAGGGAAGCAGGGAGGAAGCAAAGAUAGAGGGAGAGAAAGAGAGGGAGACAGAGAGGAAGAGGGAGAGGGAGAGGAGAGAGAGAGAAAGAAUGAAUUGUGUUCUCCCAAAAUUAGUAUGUUGAAGUCUUAAUAUCCCAGUACCUCAGACUAUGACUGUAUCUGUAGAUAGGGCUUUUGAAAAGGUGAUUAUGUUUAAAUGAGGCCAUUGGGGUGGGCCCUAAUCCAGUCCAACUGUUGUCAUUGUAAGAAGAAGAGAUUAGGACACAGAGAUACCAGGCAUGUGCGUGCCCAGACAGACAACUAUGUGAAGAGACAACAAUAGGUCAGCCAUCUGCAAGCUGAGGAGAGAGGCCUCAGAGGAAACCAACCCUGCCGGCACCUUGAUCUUGGAGUUCCAGCCUCCAGAACUGUGAGAAAAUGUAUUCCUGUUGUUGAAGCCAUUUCUGUUGUUCUGUGGCAUUUUGUUAUGGCAGCCCUAGCAAACUAAUAUGAUAAUUAACUCUUCCAAGUGCUGUUUCCAUUACAAAGUAUCCCAGAAUUUUAUAUUGGUGAAUCUGUGUUCCUCAGGCCAUGUCUUCCCUGUUGGAAAUGCUGUUAUUAUGUCCCAAGGUGACUUCAAGGAGUGGGUUAGAGGCUGAGACAGAGGGUGUGAGAUCGUCACUACUGUAACCUUGCUUUGUUCAGUAUGAACAUGCUCAGAUAUUCUCUGUUUUGUAUUGGGAGAUCGGGAAAGGAUUUAUUGAAAAAAUGUUUCCAUUAGCAAAUGAAGUUUGAAGGCAACUACCGUCUACAAGAGCAAACAAAUGCAUAAAAUUCAAAUAUUAUUUUGUCCCAACCUCAGUGUCAUGAGGGUCUCUUAUACAGAAUAGUAGAUGAGAAUAAAAUUUGAAUUGAUAAUACUGGAAUAGAGUAGUCAUUAUGCAAUGUAACAAACCUCAAAUAUUCAGUGGUUUAACACUAUAGAUGUUUAUUUACCACUCAUUCAAUGUAUGUGUUCCUUGUUAGCAGUAGUUUUCCUUGUAGUCAUUCAGGAAUCCAGGCAUAUUAGUUAUCUAUUUCUGUGUACCCCAUAAAAACCAUUUAUUAUUGCACACUUUCAGAGGGUCAGUAAUUUGGGAGUGGCUUAGCUGGGGUGUUCUGACCAGAGUCUCUCUUGAGGUUGUAGUCAAGAUGUUGGCUAGGGUUGCCAUCAUCUGAAAGCUUGACUGGGACUGUAUCCACUUUCAAGAUGGCGCACUUACUUGGCUGUUGGCAGGAAGCCUCAAUGACUUAUCAUGUGGUCUUCUCCACAGUGCUGCUUGAGCAUCCACACAACAUGGCGCUAGCUUCCCCCAGAGUGAGUAAUCCAGAAUGAAGAAGACAGAAACCACAAUAUCCUUUAUGAACUGGCCUUAUAAGUAAUAUUUUGUCAUUUCCAUAAAGUCCUAUUGGUUACACAAGACUGCCGUAUUCAAUAUAAGAGUGACAACACAUGGGGAUAAAUACUUGGAGGUGUAAAUCAUUGGGAACCAUCCUGGAAGUUGCCUACAAUACUAGGAUCUAUGGCUACAAUUCCCUGGGUCUUGGCUUCAAGACAGAGAAAAGGGAAAGAACAUGAAACAGCCCCAUGUGGUUUUUGUUUUUUUUUUAAUGGACAAGAGUAAGAAAUGGUGAACAUUUCUUCUACUCAUAUUCUACAGUUAGAAUUUGGUCACAUAAUGUAUCUAACUAUGAAGGUAGCUAGGUAAUAUCAUCUCUUGUUGGGAGGGUAGCUGGGAAUACCUCUAUACAAUGGAAGGAAGAGCAUGAACUUUUGGUGGAGAGAUAAUGCUCUCUGCCAUGAUAAAAUGAAAAAAAUAACAUAUGCAGAAUGGUCAACAUAACAGCAUGAAGCAAAUGCACAAUGAAUGAUAAUCAUAAUAUAGUGCUCUUUUGAUAAUCUAGUGCAUACCCAGAACCUGGGAGGUAUUUGGUUUUAAUACAUGUUUGUUGUAUGAAUACGUGAGUUAAGGUAAUGGAUGCAAAAAUGGUAUAAAUAGGAGGAAUUAUAAUUGAUAUUUCUUGAGUUAGCAUGUUUCAUUGGCUAUCUUUAUGGAGGUCCAGACCCUCCUCCGAAGGUGGAUAUUACUGUUCCGAUUUCAAUUGGUCAAAUAGAGACCAAGAGACUUUAGGCAACUUGUUUUAGAUUUGGCACUGAAUGGCGGGAAAGUGCAGAUUUUCUGAGUACUAUGUCUGGGCUCUUUGCUAUAAGCACUAUUGAUUUGAAUGGAUAAGAACAGAAAAGUCCUUUGCUCAGAGGAGAAUCAGGGCCACUGUAUCAGUCAGGGUCCAAUCAAGAGGCAGAAACUAUACCAGUUAUUUAAUUUCAUUUAUUUAUUUAUUAUUAUUUUUUAGAGAUGUGGUCUUGCUGUGUUGCUCAGGCUGUUCUCGAACUCCUGGGCUCAAGCAAUCCACCUGCCUUGACCUCCCAAACUGCUGGGAUUACAGGUGUGAGCCACUGUGCCUGGCCCCGUACCAGUUAUUUUAACAGAGAGAAUUUAGUAUGGCCCAGGCGCAGUGGUUCAAGCCUGUAAUCCCAGCACUUUGUGAGGCUGAGCAGGGAGGAUCACUUGGACCCAGGAGUUUGAGACCAGCCUGGGCAACAUAUUGAGAGUCCACUUAAGAAAAAGAAUUUAAUAUAAAGAACUUUUUUCUUUUCUUUUUUUUUUUUUUGAGAUAGAUGGAGUCUCACUCUGUUGCCCAGGCUGGAGUGCUGUGGCGUGAUCCCAGCUCACCGCAACAUACGCCUCCUGGAAUCAAGCACCUCUCCCGCCUCAGCCUCCGGAGCAGCUGGGAUUACAGGCACUCGCUAACACGCCUGGCUAAUUUUUGUAUUUUAGUAGAGGCAGGGUUUCACCAUGUUGACCAGGCUGGUCUCAAACUGCUGACCUCAAGUGAUCCCCUGUCCUCGGGCUCCCAAAGUGCUGGGAUUACAGGCAUGAGCCACCACGCCUGGCCGAGAAUUGUUAACUAGGAAUCAAGUUGAUAACCAGGCAACUAAAAAGGAAAAAAAAACAACAAAACAAAACCAACCCAACAACAAUAUUAAUGUAUCACAGAAGAAGCAACUGAAGGAAACAGCUAUACUCAGAGGUCUGGGGGAACAAUGAGAAAAGGUUGGCAUUAACACUUAGAAUCAGCCAAGUGCAGUGGCUCAUAUCUGUAAUCCCAGAGACUCAGGAGACCAAGGUGGGAGGAUUGCUUGAAGCCAGGAGUUUGAGACUAGACUGGGCAACAUAGUGAGACCCUGUCUCUACAAAACAUAAUAAAAUUGGCCAGGCAGAGUGGCAUUCACCUGUGGUCCCAGCUACUCGGGAGGUUGAGGUAGGAGGAUCACUAGAGCCCAGUUACAGUGAGUAUGACUCACUGUAACUACACUCCACUACACUCCAGCCUGGGAGACAGAGUGAGACCCUGUCUCAAACAAACAAACAAACAAACCAAAAAAUCACUAGAAUAAUAGGAGAAAAGUGCCCUGCAAACUGAAACUCAGAUCUCUAAGGAGGGACGGGGGUUGGAGUCUUUGAGGGGUGCAAUUAGACUGGUUCUGCCAGUGUUAGGAAAACUGCAAACUGGAUUGAGAUGCUGCUAUGGGAAGGAACUGCCAUUGCAGGAGAAAGGAAGCCUUGCUAGGAGAGUGUUCACAGGAACAGAAAGAGCAAGUUCCUUUUUCCUCCAGCCUUGCAGUUCCCCUCUAACACCCCCAUGGGUAGAACCUCACAGGAAGCAGCUGGAACAGCAGAAAUAUGCUUUUCCCAAUUCCAACUCUUGUAUCACAAAGCAGAAUACAGAAGGUUGGGUUUGGAGUUGAGAGAUAACAACUAAAUAAUAGCUGGCACAAGGCCCACCUGAUCAGAAAUUAAUCUCACCUCCUUGGGGAUAAGGGCUUUGGGUGGGAGGAAAGGAGGCUCUUGAACUCAUGGGCAUUGAGCACGUGACUAGUUGUCUUAGAGAAAAUGUGCCACCCUGCAGGGCCGCCUGAAAGCUUGUACAAGUGCCUGAGGAAAGCCGGAUUUGGCAGGCUGCAACCACGGUGGAUGACAGCUGAAGGAGAAUUACAGCAGCAGCAGUUAAGUAGAAGAUGUUCACACUUCCUCGCUCUGCAUCUUUCUUCCUGGAGCCCAACACCUCGGAGGAGAAUGGGAAACCCAGAAGAAGGAGUGGGAAGUAGGGUUGCCACAUAAAAUAUAGGACUCUCAGUUACAUUUGAAUUUCAGAUAAGCAGCAGAUUAUUUCUUAGUAUAAGUAUGUGCCAGUAUGUGUGUAUGUGCACACAUAUGUGCACAUGUAUGCAUGCAUCAGCUAGAUUCUGCAACCAUCAGAGAAAUAGACAAAGGUCCUUUUGACCAGUGGUCAAACUGAGCUAUGAGGAGAAGAUCUUGAAAUUGCAUGUGAUAUUGAAGCUUUAAACUUACUGAGUUGCUUGUGUUAGGCUUUUAAAUACCGUAAUGGGACUAAAAACUAUGUUUCUAAGAGAGAGGAAUAUUUGGGAGUACAGCUGACCCUUGAACAAUGCAAGGCUUAGAGGCAUUGUCAAAAAUCCACAUGUAACUUUUGACUCCACAAACAUUUAACUAUUUUUCUUGUCUUUUUUCUUUUUUUUUUUUUGAGAUGGAGUCUCACUCUGUCUCCCAGGCUGGAGUGCAGUGGGGUGAUCUCAGCUCACUGCAACCUUCACCUCCCAGGUUCAAGCAAUUCUCAAGCCUCAGCCUCCUGAGUAGCUGGGAUUACAGGUGUGCACAAAGAUGCCUGGCUAAUUUUUGUAUUUUCAGUAGAGAUGGGGUUUCACCAUGCUGGCCAGGCUGGUCUUGGACUCCUGACCUCACGUGAUCUGCCCACCUUGGCCUCCCAAAGUGCUGGGAUUACAGGCAUGAGCCACGGCAUCUGCCCAAAAACUGAACUAUUAGUAGCCUACUGUUGACUGGAAGUCUUACUGAUAACAUAGUCAAUUAACACAUGUUUUGUGUUAUAUGUAUUAUAUACUAUAUUCUUACAAUAAAGCAAGCUAGAGAAAAUAGAAUAUUAAGAAAAUCAUAAGGAAAAUAUAUUUAGGAUUCUUUUUUUUUUGAGAUGGAGUCUUGCUGUGUCACCCAGGCUGGAAUGCAGUGGUCAGCCUUCCAACGUGCUGAGAUUACAGGCGUGAGCCACUAUGCCCGGCCAUAUUUACUAUUCAUUAAGUGGAAGCGGAUCAUCAUAGAUGACUUCAUCCUCAUCCUCUUCACACUGAAUAGGGUGAAGAGGAGGAGGAAGAGGAGGGGUUGGUCUCACUGUCUCAAGGGUGGCAGAGGCAGAAGAAAAUCCAGGUAGAAGUGGACCCAAGCAGUUCAAAUCCAUGCUGUUCAGGGGUCAACUGGGUCAACUGUGUAGUUAAAGGUAGUGAGUAGUUGGAGAAAAAUGAAACUGCUUUCGUGUUUAUACCUUCACUGAGUUCAGACCUCGUAAUAAACUGGGUAUCUGUAUGUGUGACAAACAAUAGAGGAGAUGUGUGUGCAGGGUGUUCAAGGGGCUUUUGCAUCUUUGCUGGUGAUCACAAAUAGGGCUUUAAUUCUUGGACUUGAAGAGCUGCAGGAGCCAUUGAAAGGAUACAUGGAGCUAGUUGAAUACCACAUUAUCAUUUAGCAAGUGAUAUUUAGCUCUAUUCCUGUGGAUGAACCCUGAUUAGGAUCUUAAGUUUGUAUGUUGUUGGAGAUUAUUCUUGUUUGUCUUGGAAAUGAACAUUCAUUCAUUCGUUCUGGUGCCUAGCAUAGACAAUAAAUCACAAUUCAAAUAAUGAAAAAUUAUAUAUUUAUUUAUUAAGCAUCUACUGCAUGUAGGUUCUGUGUUAGAUGCACAAAAAUGAAUACCAUAAAAUCCUUUACUAAAACGCCAUUCCUGUCUUUGAGUGGAAAAUGUAGCAGCUACGGGAAUUAAGUUAUAUGGUAGCAUGUGUGGUUACCUACUUGACGGAGACAGAAUCCACAUUAUCAGGUGUGGUCAGAUGAGGGAUUCUCUGCCUGGAGAAGUUGUCAUGGACAAGGUAGGAUUUAAUUUAGGUUGUAAAAGAAUACCAGGAUUUAGGGACUCCUAAAGACAGAGACUGUAUAUCCCUCAUCAGAUCAGCCACUCUUUUCUUUUUUUUUUUUUUUUUUUUUGAGACAGUUUCGCUCUUGUUGCCCAGGCUUGAUUGCAAUGGUGCGAUCUCGGCUCACUGCAACCUCCACCUCCUGGGUUCAAGCGAUUCUCCUGCCUCAGCCUCCCGAGUAACUGGACUACAGGCGCCUGCCACCACACCCAGCUAAUUUUUUGUAUGUUUAGUAGAGGUGGGGUUUCACUAUGUUGGCCAGGCUGGUCUCGAACUCCUGACCUCAGACAAUCCCCCCGCCUCGGCCUCCCAAAGUGCUGGGAUUACAGGCGUGAGCCACUGUGCCCAGCCAACCAGAUCAGCCAUUCUAAGGCCAAGAGUUGCAUUACUCUUUUCUCUGUUUCUUGGAAACAUGACUGGAGGACUUGCUGUAAAAAAUAUUAAGACUUAUUAUGAUAAAGCUAUGGUAAUAACAAGGUGUAGUGUUAGAAUGAACCUGGGCAACAUGGCAAAAUCUUGUCUGUGAAAAAUAUCAAAAAUUAGGUCAGGUGCGGUGGCUCACGCCUGUAAUCCCAGCACUUUGGGAGUCUGAGG
rnacentral:lncRNA from 1 species